rnacentral:tRNA from 1 species
GCGCCUGUAGCUCAGUUGGAUAGAGCGUCUCGUUGCGGACGAGAAGGUCGGAGGUUCGAAUCCCCCCAGGCGUA